GUCUAGCGACUGCACCUACAUAUUUUUGCAUGUUUACAAUUCUAAUUUUAAACAGCCAAUCGACAUUUAACUGUAAUUGUUACCAAGAACUGGAUUGGCUGUUUAAAAUUAGAAUUGUAAACAUGCAAAAAUAUGUAGGUGCGGUCGUUAGAC
rnacentral:miRNA from 1 species